rnacentral:miRNA from 1 species
AUUACUCACUUCGUUCCAAAA